GUGCCAGCAGCCGCGGUAAUACGUAGGGUGCGAGCGUUGUCCGGAAUUAUUGGGCGUAAAGGGCUCGUAGGCGGUUUGUCGCGUCGGGAGUGAAAACACCGGGCUUAACUCGGUGCUUGCUUUCGAUACGGGCAGACUAGAGGCAUGCAGGGGAGAACGGAAUUCCUGGUGUAGCGGUGAAAUGCGCAGAUAUCAGGAGGAACACCGGUGGCGAAGGCGGUUCUCUGGGCAUGUCCUGACGCUGAGGAGCGAAAGUGUGGGGAGCGAACAGGAUUAGAUACCCUGGUAGUCC
rnacentral:rRNA from 1 species